rnacentral:rRNA from 1 species
UACGUAGGGGGCAAGCGUUGUCCGGAAUCAUUGGGCGUAAAGCGCGUGUAGGCGGCUCGGUAAGUCCGCUCUGAAAGUCCAGGGCUCAACCCUGGGAUGCGGGUGGAUACUGCCGGGCUCGAGUCCGGAAGAGGCGAGUGGAAUUCCCGGUGUAGCGGUGAAUGCGCAGAUAUCGGGAGGAACACCAAUGGCGAAGGCAGCUCGCUGGGACGUGACUGACGCUGACGACGCGAAAGCGUGGGGAGCAAACAGGG